CAGCGCGUUCCAGAGAAAUUCCCCACAAAAUGGCUGCCAAAACAAAUCCACCGCGGACAUCCGCACAACUGACUUUUAAAAGUUUAAAAGUAAAUGAAAUGUGGUUGCGUUAUAGCACCCGCACUUCCACCGAGGCUUCGGCAAGAAGCUGUUUGACGUGAGCUGAUGGAGACUAUGAUCCUGCACCAACACUGGGCACCUGUGCCACUAAGGACCAGUUCUGGAAAUGUUUGCUGAGGCGUUCAAUGCUUUAAGAACCAAUGAUGAGUUUCGACAAGUCCCGCCCUGCUGUGCUAUGAUUGGCUAGUACUCGUCACUUCUGACUGGAUGCUAGCUGCGAGUGCAGCAAGUCCUGCCUUUCUGUGCCUUGAUUGGCUAGAAGCCUACUCAUUGACACCAAGAUAUUGUACAAUAUAGAAUAUUUUAAAUCUUUACAUUUACAGAAAUAAAUGA